rnacentral:rRNA from 1 species
UAGCGGGGGGAGCAAGCGUUUGUUCGGAUUUACUGGGCGUAAAGGGCGCGUAGGCGGCCACCGCAAGUCGAUUGUGAAAUCCCCGGGCUUAACCUGGGAAUGGCAUUCGGGACUGACAAGGCUGGAGUGCGGCAGGAGGAGACUGGAACUUCCUGGUGUAGCAGUGAAAUGCGUAGAUAUCAGGAGGAACACCGAUGGCGAAGGCAGGUCUCUGGGCUGACACUGACGCUCAUGCACGAAAGGCGUGGGGAGCAAACAGG